rnacentral:rRNA from 1 species
UACGAAGGGUGCAAGCGUUAAUCGGAAUUACUGGGCGUAAAGCGUGCGUAGGCGGUUGUUUAAGUCUGUCGUGAAAUCCCCGGGCUCAACCUGGGAAUGGCGAUGGAAACUGGGCAGCUAGAGUGUGGCAGAGGGGGGUAGAAUUCCACGUGUAGCAGUGAAAUGCGUAGAGAUGUGGAGGAAUACCGAUGGCGAAGGCAGCCCCCUGGGCUAACACUGACGCUCAUGCACGAAAGCGUGGGGAGCAAACAGG